UACGAAGGGGGCUAGCGUUGUUCGGAAUUACUGGGCGUAAAGCGCGUGUAGGCGGUUGCCAAAGUCGGGCGUGAAAGCCUUGAGCUCAACUCAAGAAUUGCACUCGAUACUUGGUGACUAGAGGACCGGAGAGGAUAGUGGAAUUCCCAGUGUAGUGGUGAAAUACGUAGAGAUUAGGAAGAACACCAGUGGCGAAGGCGACUUACUGGACUGUAACUGACGCUGAGGCAUGAAAGCGUGGGGAGCAAACAGG
rnacentral:rRNA from 1 species